rnacentral:rRNA from 1 species
CGAAGGUGGCAAGCGUUGUUCGGAUUUACUGGGCGUACAGGGAGCGUAGGCGGUUGGAUAAGCCCUCCGUGAAAUCUCCAGGCAUAACCUGGAAAGUGCAGAGGGGACUGUUCAGCUAGAGGAUGGGAGAGGAGCGCGGAAUUCCCGGUGUAGCGGUGAAAUGCGUAGAGAUCGGGAGGAAGGCCGGUGGCGAAGGCGGCGCUCUGGAACAUUUCUGACGCUGAGGCUCGAAAGCGUGGGGAGCAAACAGGAUUAGAUACCCUGGUAGUCCACGCCUUAAACGAUGGAUACUAAGUGUCGGCGGGUUACCGCCGGUGCCGCAGCUAACGCAGUAAGUAUCCCGCCUGGGAAGUACGGCCGCAAGGUUG